UCUGCCUCAUGGCUUUUAUGCUUGCUCUUCCCUCUGGUGGAAAUGCCUGCCUCCCAUAUAAGCAUGGCUUAGUCCUGCACUUACUUCAAUAAAGGAAGCAAAAUACCUUCUUAUCAGUGAGGCCUAUCCUGCUUGCCCUACUUAAGUUGUAACCACGUACCACCUGCUCAUUUCCCCGGCUCCACACUCACCCUAUCUCCUUCCCUGCUUUAUUUUUCUCCCUAGUGCUUAAAACCAAGUGAUAUCCUAUACAAUUCACUCGUUUCGUUUUAUGUUUCAGAUAACUGGAUUCCCAGUGCCCAGAACCAUGGCCACACUUAAGAAAUCCCAGGUCAGUGUAUGUGGGAUGAGUAGCUGAAAAGGCCGUAUGUGAUCGGGCCUCGCCUACCUCUUCAGUCUUCACUUCUCUGCUCCCCCUUCGUGCGCCACAGACUGCAUUUCUGUCAUCAGAGUGCUUAGCAUUUAUUUCCCUUUCGCUUGCCUGGGUUCUUAACUACACCGUAAACUCCAUGGCGUGGGGCUCUCACUAGCCAAAGUAUCUUCCACGUCCAGCACAGUGCCUGGCACCAGGGUUGGGGCCCCAUAAGUGCUUUUUUGAAUGAAUGAAAGUGUUUGUGGGAGUUCAGAAGGUCCUAAGUAAAGAGGAAGAUCACAUGUGGUUGGAUGGAUUGAUAAGAAAAUGCCUCGUGAAGAGGUGCCAUCUAAGUGAACCCUUUAAAAAGGUGGAGGGUGAGAGGUGACAGUGCCUUUAGGCUCUGAGGAUAACAGAGUGGGAAGAGUUGUUAAGUGGGUAGAACUCUACUUCUCUUUCCUUCCUUUUGCCUCCCUUCCUAAGCAAUUCAGUUCCCAUGCCAUUAAAACGGAUGGAGCGAGGUGUGUCGAGGCGGCUUAGAGUGAGGAGGCAGAGCCAGAGAACGGCAAGAAGACUGUCCCUGCGGAGCCCCGCAUCUGUGCAGUCAGACGCCAAGCAGAGGUCCUUCACCAUGAACUAGAUGGAAGUGUUUUCUGGAAACCCACAGACGUUUCCAUCCUUGACUGCCUCACUGAUAUCUGAGGAUGGAUCUGAGUAAGCCUUGUGCUGAUUGAAAUCCAAUCCCUGGAACCUGACAGGAGGCAAGAUGACCUUCCUUCAAACACAGGCAUGGUCAAUCCUAGGGACCUCGGGCCAAAUGACCCCCAGCGACGUGCAGCUGAGACACAUGCUGUGGCAUCAACACCGCUCUUCCUGUUUCUUAGCCAAAGCUUUAGUGAAGUCUCUUCAACACCAUCUUUCAUUAGCAGUGUUGGGAGCAGAAACACAGGAGCAUUCGGUCUUAAAGGAGAGUGUCUACUCAAGUGAGACAUGUCUGGGAUUUGCAGUUAAACACCGAGAAUCAAAUCCCAGCUCUUCCACAUCUGGGCUGUGUAGAUGAAACACAGACACAUCUCUAAGCACACGCUGUUACCGCUGCUUCCUGGCAGCAAGUAACUCAAUCUCUCCGAGCUUUAGUUUCCUUAUCUGCUAAAUGCGGUAAUCAUAGCAGCUACUUUACUCAGUUGCAAUGAAAAUGAAAUGACAGAGCAAUGUUGCUGUAAUUACCCCUCACUUGGUAAUUUUAAAA